UUAGUCUUUUAAUUGGAGACUGGAAUGAAAGAGUAAACCAGGAGAAAUUUUUUUGGAAAAAAAAAAUGAAGUUUACUUUUUAGUAAGAAGGCUAAAAUGAUUCUUUUAGACAAGAAGACCCUAUAAAACUUUAUACUUUAUGAUUUUAGACAAUUAUAAAAGUAUUUUACUGGGGCGGUAAAAGAAAAAAAAACAUCUUUUAAUGUAUAAGACGAACAAGUCUUAAUAUCUGGAAAUUCCAAAAAAGAAAUAAGUUACUUUAGGGAUAACAGCUUAAUUCAUUUUGAAAGAUCAAAUUGACAAAUGAGUUUAUGACCUCGAUGUUGAAUUAAAAUUCCCUUUUUGUGCAAAA
rnacentral:rRNA from 1 species